CGGGGUGUAGUUCAGUGGCUAGAACGCUCGCUUUGGGAGCGAGAGGUCGCCGGUUCAAGUCCGGCCGCCCCGA
rnacentral:tRNA from 1 species